rnacentral:lncRNA from 1 species
UGCUUGGAAUCCUCCUGACGUAUAGAGAAAACCUGAAGUGUCGACAUGCAUCCCCAAGAUCUCUCCAAUAUCAUAGGGGGUAACUGAAAAUCUCCUCUGACGCACAACAGUCUCGAAAAUAAAAGUGCCUGUUUCAUCAUCUUCAGCAAGCACCUUUCCAUUCAUAUAGAACUCCCUAAUGAGUUCUACACAGAAAGGAGCUUUCGCAGGAAUCCGUCCAACAGGCUCAAUAGGUGCGCGCUGUAAUAGUCGUCCAAAAUCAGGAACAUCCCGAAUCAGAUCAUGAAAGUU